GACAUUUAAUUUUUUUUUUCAACUUGGGUGAGUGGGGGUGGGGGGAAGCUUGGAGCUGUCUUAAUCUGUAUUCUCUUGACUGAACAAUAAAUUUUUAAAUAUGUAUAGUUUCCUCUAUUAAACACUUAAACCUGGCCAUCUUAUUAACUCCUUCUGCUCUCUCUUUUUCUUAACAAGGUAAUGUUUUAAAUGUAUAGUUUUAGGACUAGCGAAAUGGCAGCAACAACAACUUGUAAGCAGUUCUUACUCCUUUUUAAAGUUUUUUUAAAAACCUUGUUCAUUGUAAGUAGCCAAUCCAUUGUCCUUACCAGUGUAGUUUUCAUGUUAAUGUUGCUGAGAUGUCCUUUAUUUUUCCGAACCUUCAUCUGCAUGUCUGUCUUUGUCGCUCUUGUCUAACAUAAGCCAGUAAAAAUGCUCGUAGACGAUUUUUUGCUUUUAUAAAGCCAAGGCUUUAGCUUUUAAGCUUUUGAGAAUGUGUACAGCAGUGAAUGCUAGUCAGCUUUCUUCCCAGAAAACAGGUACACUUUCUUUGAAAAUCGAUCUACUUGAAGAAAAACAGUUCUUGUUUUUCUUCUGGUCUCGCUAGAGGAGUGGGUGAGGGGAAAAGGAAGACCUCUUUGUGUCAAACAGACGAAAAGCCGUCACAGGAAACUAGAUUAAAACUGGAAAACAAGUCCUGGCUGGUUUGAGCCAAACACCAACGUUCACUUGCGGAGCAGUACACGGCCCUCAGCGAAGCCGCCUUUUGCCAACCCAACCCUGGAAAGUUCACAGAAGUGGAAGGACAGAAAAUGCCAUGAGAGUGUAACUUACAAAAAAGGCUUCUGGCCAGAGAAGGGGCAACACGUCGGUCCCCCCAGAGUGGACCGUCCUCCUCCGAACAGCAGGAACAGGCCUAGUUUGGCUCUGACAGUCCUCCCAGUAAGGUAGGCGUGAGGCCUUUCCCAAUCUGUAAGGGGGAUUUGGGGGGCUUUGGCCUGGAGCCCUGGGAGGGCGGACACCUCCAACUCGUUAAGCUGGUUCUGCAGCCCCUCCCCCACACAGAUGUGCAGGGGUGUGUGUGUGUGUGUGUGUGUGUGUGUGUGUGUGUGUGUGUGUGUGUGUGUGAAAUCGGCGGCCUGCCGGGCCCAUCCAUCCCUGCCUGUCAGCCUCUGUUGUCAGAGUUUGGGGCGUGCAGUUCUCUGCCUAUUUAGUAGCGCUGGAGAGGCCGGCAGUGCUGGCAGUGCUGGCGAGCGUUUCCCAGCGGUGUUUCGUGGUGGGGGAUGGGUCCUGGAUGCCUCUGAAGGACACCUCGGCUGCCAGGAAGCCCAGCCCUUCUCUGGCCCUUCCUUCCUGCCCCCAGUGUCCGCCAGUGGGGUGAAUGGUUGAGCGAGGGCCCUUCCCCUCCUGUGUCUGGUUGCUGGGGAGGUGAAGCACGGGGCCUGAGGUCUGGGCCAGCUUCCUCUGAGAGGCUUCUUGCCUCUUCUGCUUCCUGGGAAUUCCCACGAUUACCUCCCCACCCCCCACACCGAAACCAGCCGUAGCUGGAGUAGCGCACAGCGGCUGCCGUUUGCCUGCCGCGACCUCGCCAGGGUGGCCAGCGGGGCUGGGUCAGUGUUUCUCAGGCAAGUGUGCUGCUGAGUCACUGCAGAACUCAUUCCCAGCGACCCUGGAGUUCCUGGUUCAGUUGGUGGGGCCCGAGAAGGCGCGUUUCCGACAAAGCCCCAGGUGGUGCUGAUGAGAGAGCCCAGUGCUUGGCACAGGGUCGUUGGCCUCUAAUAAUGGCAACUCUCUGUUCCUUCUGACACAAGCGGUGCCGCAGUGUCCCGGUCUCUUUGUCUCCGGGAAGCUCCACAGCUGGACACCGUGUGGCCCUUGAUCUCCCAGCCUCCACCCCAUGUGGUCUCUAGUACGUGAUGACUUUGAUGAGCCAUUUGGGUUCAGGUGCCACAUUUGAGCUGCCUCCCCCGUUUGGCUCGCAGCUUGGCUUCCGUAUCAGGUCAGCCCUGCCUGCUGUCACGCCACUCAAGCUGAGGUGUGUGGGGGGGGGCUGCUGCAGGACUUGCCCCUGACGUUUUCUUUGCAGGCGUCUUGGUGCUUAAUCAGGGGAGGGUCUGAGGCAGGUGUCUGUGGGCUUGAGGCUCCCAGGUGCCAGUGACCUUGGGCAAGUCUCCGUGUAAAAUGAUAGCGUUGUACGCUGUCACUGUUGGGAGGAUUAACUGUGAGGAAGGGGGCCAGCGGCGUGUUCAGGCUUCACACUGGUUAGCCUCCAUUCCAACUGGAGGCUGGGCCGCUUUCCAGCUCCUCCCCUAUCAGCCCACCCCGAGCACGUGGCUGAGCCUCAGGGCUGGGGCUCCCUGAAGGAAGGCAGGAGGCAGCGUCAUUCUAACUCCCAUGUCGUCUGAGUCUGGCUGGUGGCCUGCCCUCUGCUCUGUGAACACUCAGGAUUUGGGGUCACACGCCCACCCCUCCCUCCAGCAUAUAAAUGACUCACCCAAGGUCAUGAGGCCACCACCCUCGGCCAGGACUGGGUUCCAGGUGUCUUGAUGAACAGCCCAGCGUCCGUGUCCGAGGCACCCCCUCGCCCCAGCUGUCUGGGUUAUUUCGGGUGCCCUCCCGUGCCAGCUGUCUGCUGGCAUCGCCCCCAGGAGCCGGGGAAGCUGUCUGGCUGCGAGUAACCUGAGUGCUGCUCUGGGCUCCUUGUGGCUCCUUCUGGCUCCCGUGCUUUAGACUCUCCCGUCCCAGAUUAGCUGGGUGAGGUCCAUCUUGUCCUUUUCUGGGGGGCAAGGGGGUGCACCCCACCACACCCCUUUGUAAAAGUUGGUGCGCCUCUUUCCUCCUUCCACAGAUCUCAGGUUUCAGUUCAACUGUGCUGUUGAGGAGCCCAUUCAAAUCUCCUAACUCCUCACCUCACUGGCCGCCUGAGGGUGUCCUGUGACCCUUUGGAUAGGGCCCUUGUGGCCGCAGAGGCAGAGAUCUUGACCUGCCAUGGCUGCAGAUGGUUCGAUAAUUCACUGAAACCCUCCCCUUUUGACUGCUGCCUGCGGGGCCGCAGCCAGUUCUUCCACUCUUGCCCUGGGAGCAAUUAGGAAGCAAUUAGGUGCUGAACUGUGUGGUCUGGGCGAGAUUCUUGGGAGAGGUGUCCCGGUGACCUGACCUGGAAGCUCGCCUUCAGCCUAUGCGCUCCCUGCUUCCAUUUUUCUCUUACCCCUUCUUUUUUCUUUGUGCCCCCCACCCCCAACCUCAUCACCUCCAGGGCUAGGGAGGGGUUGUCAUUCCUUCUAGCCCAGAGGGCGGCCCCGCCCACCGGUCACCCAGGGGGCGAGGGGCGGGGCAAUCCUGGCCUGGAGCCUGCCUGGAGAGGGCCACGCCAGCGGAAGGGCAGCUGGCUGGCCGGACUUGCUUUACCACUGGACACCAGAGUCCCGCCUCUUCCGGCCCAGCCACCGAGAGGGAGAGCCCCAGCAUGGAAUACGACCUUUUGGACCCUCUGGGUGGAGAUGCAGUCGCGUGGACUAUGGAGAGAGGCAGGCACCCUGCCAUCUCAAGGCUGUGUGGGUCCACUGAUGUCUCCACCUGGCCGGUGACCUUAGCAGGCCUCUGCCCCUCUGGGAGCAUGGGUCUUCAUUGGUGACCCACGAGGAGGAAGUUGGCAGGUAACCUCCUGAGCCAUUUCUGAAGCCGGCUUUGUGAGGGGAAACUUUUUGGGUGGCAGUGACUCCCCAGGCUACCUGGGCCACCACCUCCCAUCUCUAGGAACUCAGAGAAAAGUUUAGUCUAUGCAGGCUCAGUGUUUUCAGCUUCAUGCAGAGUGGGUGACUCCUCAGGUGUGCAGUGCCCUCUUGGGACGUUCAGAGGCCCCAGGGAAGUGGAAGUCCUAGGCACUGUCAUUAGCCAUCCUCGCCUGUGCCCCCAGACCCUGUCCCCACAAGAGGAGAGCAGCUCUGGGUCUUCUCUCCCCAGCUCAGGUGGUCUCACCGUGGCACGGGCCACCUGGCCAGCCCCACCUGGCUUCGGCAUCUCAGCGGCUCUGUGGCCAGGACCGGUUUCCAGUGUCUUGCUUGCUUUCCUAACUCUCCCUAGGAGUUCCUGGUGACUAGAGGCAGAGUGACCUGGGGCCUCGGCACAUCUCACAGGUAAGAAAGCAGGGCUCCUGGGCGUGAGGGUGCGCCCAGAGCUUCAGCUGGCCUGCCCUGGCCCUGCCACCUCCAGGGAGCUGAGCAGCUGGCCUGGCUGCUGGGUAUUUUUAGCUACAGGACCCCCGCCCCCAGCUUGGCCCCCCUCACACCCUCUCCCUCAGACUGGGGCUGGGAUGCUGCCAGCCCCUUGGCCAGGCAGGGGGCGGGGCCCGUGUCAGCUGUUCUGCCCAGACCCAGGCAGGGCUGGGGACUCGCUUUCCUCUCCUCCCUCCUGCCCACAUAGUGUAAGUGGUUUGGUCAUAAGUCAGAAUUAUCACUUGAACAAUAAUUAAAUUUAAAAAAUGCUUUAAAAAGAUUAUCACCCUGUUUCUCAAGUGAAUAGUGGACACUGGGGCUUGAGGAUAGGUGGGAGCCCUCCCCAUGAGCUGCUGUGGUGUCUCCUGGCCUAGUUCGCUCAGCGUGGGGCAGCCUUUCUAAGUGAAUUCUCCCGGGCCCCUCCCUCCCUUACUCUCCCAGUCCCUCCCUGCACUUUAGGGUCCCUGCUGCAGCGGAGUUAGGCUGAAGAUGAGGCCACUAAGGUGAGUGACUGGUUCUCCUCCCUUCACUCCAAACCCUCUUCCAUCUACCUUGCCCUCCUGGGGUCCUAGGGUCAUUUCUGGCAUGUCUCUGGGCCUGGUCUGUUCUGCCAACUUGAGGCUGCCUCACCAGCCAUCACAGCUCCUCUGUGGUCUCCAAAGAAAGCUCGAGGGUCCAGCUUUGGCUGGGCCUGUUCAGGAGCCUUGUGUCCAGUGUCCCCUGCUUGAGCCUGGCAGCCAGGCCCUCCCGAGCUAACCCCUGUUACCUUGACAACAGCUUCUGGCCUCCUUCCUCAUUCCCCAGCUUCUGCCAAACCUGGCGGGGGUUUUCAGCCACCGUGCAUUUACCCCGGCUGGGUACCCUUCUGGCCUGCCUGCCCUACACUUGCCAAGCUUUUUAUUAGUUCACCUACCCCCCACCACCUCUCAACCUUCUCUGAGCUCCUUAUAGGCAAGAAUACAAUUGCUUCUCAAUAAACUUGUGUUUUGGAAAAAAAAAAAAAAAAGAUUGAGUUCCUGGUAAUUUUUCUAGGGGUGCUUGACUCAGCCGAUGCCAUCUGGUUUGGUCACAGGGCAGGGCUUCCACCCAAC